CCGUACUUGUAUCCUGAGAAGUAUGGAAUUUCUUCGCGGCCCCGCCUCAAAAUUGUCGGCAGCGGCACAGAAGCCCCGAGCGUACCAAGACCUAAUCGUCUCCGCUCCGCGGGCCUUCUGGUACCGUCUUUGCCCCAUAAUGACCCCAGCUUAUCUAUAAAAUUGACCUCGGAUCAGGUAGGGAUACCCGCUGAACUUAA
rnacentral:misc_RNA from 1 species